rnacentral:rRNA from 1 species
GGGCAGNCCCCGGAAAACCUUUAAGUCUUUGGGCUCCGGGGGAAGUAUGGUUGCAAAGCUGAAACUUAAAGGAAUUGACGGAAGGGCACCACCAGGAGUGGAGCCUGCGGCUUAAUUCGACUCAACACGGGAAAACUCACCCGGCCCGGACACUGUGAGGAUUGACAGAUUGAUAGCUCUUUCUUGAUUCGGUGGUUGGUGGUGCAUGGCCGUUCUUAGUUGGUGGAGCGAUUUGUCUGGUUAAUUCCGAUAACGAACGAGACUUUGGCCUGCUAAAUAGUAUGCCUGUCCUCUGUGCUCGUGCGGGCAGCGGUGCUCACUGCCUUUUCCAAGGUGGUGGUGUCGUUUGCCGGCGGGUACUGCGCAGGUGUCUACUUCUUAGAGGGNCNNGCGGCUGUCAGUCGCACGAAAAUGAGCAAUAACAGGUCUGUGAUGCCCUUAGAUGUCCGGGGCCGCACGUGCGCUACAAUGACGGUUUCAGCGAGUUUGGAAUCCUGGCCCGAGAGGGUUGGGCAAACUGUAUCAUAACCGUCGUGACUGGGAUCGGGGUUUGCAAUUAUCCCCCGUGAACGAGGAAUUCCUGGUAAGUGCAAGUCAUAAGCUUGCGCUGAUUACGUCCCUGCCCUUUGUACACACCGCCCGUCGCU